AUCGAACGCUGGCGGAAUGCUUUACACAUGCAAGUCGAACGGUAGAGGGGGCAACCCCUCGAGAGUGGCGAACGGGUGAGUAAUAUAUCGGAACGUGCCCAGUCGUGGGGGAUAACGUAGCGAAAGUUACGCUAAUACCGCAUACGAUCUAAGGAUGAAAGCGGGGGAUCGCAAGACCUCGCGCGAUUGGAGCGGCCGAUAUCAGAUUAGGUAGUUGGUGGGGUAAAGGCUCACCAAGCCAACGAUCUGUAGCUGGUCUGAGAGGACGACCAGCCACACGGGAACUGAGACACGGUCCAGACUCCUACGGGAGGCAGCAGUGGGGAAUUUUGGACAAUGGACGCAAGUCUGAUCCAGCCAUUCCGCGUGCAGGAUGAAGGCCCUCGGGUUGUAAACUGCUUUUGUACGGAACGAAAAGGUCUCUCUUAAUACGGGGGGCUCAUGACGGUACCGUAAGAAUAAGCACCGGCUAACUACGUGCCAGCAGCCGCCGUAA
rnacentral:rRNA from 1 species